AUGCUGGUAUAAAACAGAUCGAAAGUUAAGGUACAGGGCCCAUGCACAAAUCCCACUUCUUAUUAUAUUUGUCCAUGUUAUUAGUUUUAACACAUACAAACUUUUCCGUUUCAUGCUUAAUUUUUGCCUUAAGUUUAAAGGCGUUUAUAAUAGGAGGAGUCAGAUUUCUUCCAUUGAUCAGAGCCAAAGUUGCAGUCUUUUAAGUGUGAAGCAGGACAACUUCAACCGUUUUAG